rnacentral:rRNA from 1 species
CAAUUAAGUCAGAGGUGAAAUCCCAUAGCUUAACUAUGGAACUGCCUUUGAUACUGGUUGACUUGAGUUAUACGGAAGUAGAUAGAAUAAGUAGUGUAGCGGUGAAAUGCAUAGAUAUUACUUAGAAUACCGAUUGCGAAGGCAGUCUACUACGUAUAUACUGACGCUCAUGGACGAAAGCGUGGGGAGCGAACAGGAUUAGAUACCCUGGUAGUCCACGCCGUAAACGAUGGACACUAGUUGUUGGG